UCUCUUCUCUCUCAGUCUCCCUUCACAACGCCCACUCGUUCCCAUUUCUCGCCCCCAUUUCUCUCUCUCUCAGUUCCCGGCGACGAGUCCUCCCUCUCUCUUCCCUGGCGGUUCUCCGGCGUUGUUGCCGGCUGCGAUUUUCAGCGGCGCAUGGGCGGAGGCAGAGGCUCGGAGCCGGAGGCUCGCGCGCGUCACGCGGCAGUCGGAUCUCGAUGCCGCGACCUUGUCGACGACGACGAGAAGAGGAACCCACGCACGCCGUGGUGGUACCGCGAUUCCGGUGGGACGAAGCUGCCGGAGGUGCUCAUGCGGGCCGUUUGCAUCCACCCCCUCGACAUGUGGUGGUGGACGAUGGAUAGGUCUCGCCAACGGCAUCCCGAUGCGCGGCCGUGUCGACGAUGGUGGUUAGAGCAGCCGCGCGCUUGGUGAAGCCGGAGUUGUUGCUCGGGUGUGUCGGAGGGAGAUGCUCGUACGCGCCAGCAAGAGCCCGCCAUAGGUGUGGACCCUACACCUUCCCUCGCAUCCCCACGUCUCCUCCGCCUACAGCCUACUCCGUAACACGGCGAAGGAGCUCGUGUGGGUGGAUGCUCCGGCGGCAUGCCCGGAGACAGCGGGCGGAGGAGCUCGUGCGUGCCUGCCCUGACAGAGAGGAGAGGAAGAUGCUCCUGGAGUGGGAGCACAACGCUCUCAAGCGCUCGUGCUCCGGCGGCUCCGGCGACGUAUAAGGAGCUGCAUGAGCGCAGAGAGGAGCUUAUCUUUUGUUAGAUAUGUUUCAUGCCUCCUCGAGCUCGGCCACCCGCGGCUACGCACUGCUAAGGCAUUGGAUCCCUUCCGGCAGAGAAAAAAGACCAACGAUGAGGUGGCCUUCGGUCUGGGGUGCCAAAUGAAAUUGUUCGUGGAGUCAUCCCUCGUCAAACGCACGUGCGUUAUCGCCGUCCAAUCUCUACUAUCUAAAUAAAAGAAACGUAAGGUUCCCUCUCCCCUCUUACGUCAACUAGUAGAGUGCCCGUGCGUUGCCACGGGCUCUUGACAAAGUUUACAAGAGUUACAUGUUAAAUUUCACAUGCAUAAACAAUAUAA